UGGCGCGGAGCCUUUCUUCUGUUGGAGCGUUACAGGAGAUCUGUCUCGCAUCAGUGUUGUUUGAUGAGGUCUGCUGGUGGUUGGCGUAAUGGACUGAGGAACCAUUAUGAGUUCAACAAGGCCAACAACUGCUUCAUGUGUGCCACUGAUAAAGAACCUGGAUGAGGCCCAAAGACUGACUGGAUUGAAUGUUAUGCAUGACAACGGUGGUUCCAUGUGCUGUGUCUAGGAAUGAAGACAAGAGUUCAGAGUGAAGAACAAACUGGAAGUGAUGUCUUUGUUGUUGAAAAUGUAUCCUAUACCCCAUCCACACUGAAGAGGCUCUGAUAUGUACAUCAACCAGGGAUAAAGAGAAAGUGAACACUGAAAUGUUUUGUACUUAUUUGAAGUAAAGUGUCUGCCAUAUUGCAGACUUUAAUCUUUUCCAACUUCUGUUUAAUUUGUCAAUAUCCCAUUUUUCCUUCAUUGAUUUUCUGGCCACCAUUACUGCGGUUACAUGUUCAGUAUUUGUAUUGACCAGAAAACCCACCUUACUCUCCAUCCCGGCUUUGGACAAUUAAUAAAACAUGACUCUCAUA